UACGGGGGGGGCAAGCGUUGUUCGGAAUUACUGGGCGUAAAGGGUUCGUAGGUGGCGUGCUAAGUCAGACGUGAAAUCCCUCAGCUUAACUGGGGAACUGCGUCUGAGACUGGCAGGCUCGAGUGCAGGAGAGGAACGCGGAAUUCCAGGUGUAGCGGUGAAAUGCGUAGAUAUCUGGAGGAACACCGGUGGCGAAGGCGGCGUUCUGGACUGCAACUGACACUGAUGAACGAAAGCCAGGGGAGCAAACGGG
rnacentral:rRNA from 1 species